AUUGAACGCUGGCGGCAUGCCUUACACAUGCAAGUCGAACGGUAACGCGGGGCAACCUGGCGACGAGUGGCGAACGGGUGAGUAAUGCAUCGGAACGUGCCCAGUAGUGGGGGAUAGCCCGGCGAAAGCCGGAUUAAUACCGCAUACGACCUACGGGUGAAAGGGGGGGAUCGCAAGACCUCUCGCUAUUGGAGCGGCCGAUGUCAGAUUAGGUAGUUGGUGGGGUAAAGGCCUACCAAGCCUACGAUCUGUAGCUGGUCUGAGAGGACGACCAGCCACACUGGGACUGAGAGACGGCCCAGACUCCUACGGGAGGCAGCAGUGGGGAAUUUUGGGCAAUGGGCGCAAGCCUGAUCCAGCCAUGCCGCGGGCGGGAAGAAGGCCUUCGGGUUGUAAACCGCUUUUGUCAGGGAAGAAACGUCUCGGGAUAACACCUCGAGAUAAUGACGGUACCUGAAGAAUAAGCACCGGCUAACUACGUGCCAGCCGCCGCCGUAACAC
rnacentral:rRNA from 1 species